UGCAUGUGUAAGUAUAAAUAAUUUUACUUUGAAACUGCGAAUGGCUCAUUAUAUCAGUUAUAGUUUAUUAGAAAUACUUUACUACUUGGAUAACCGUAGUAAUUCUAGGGCUAAUACAUGAAUAAAUCCUCAACUUCGGAAGAGGUGUGUUUAUUAGUAUGAAAACCAUAUAUCUUCGGAUAUAAUAGUGAGUAAUAAUAACCUUUCAUAUCGUAUGUCGUAAGAUAACGAUAGUUCUUUCAAGUUUCUGCCCUAUCAGCUUUCGAUGGUAGUAUAUGGGACUACCAUGGCAGUAACGGGUAACGAAGAAUUUGGGUUCGAUUUCGGAGAGGGAGCCUGAGAGAUGGCUACCACAUCCAAGGAAGGCAGCAGGCGCGUAAAUUACCCAAUCCUGACAUAGGGAGGUAGUGACAAUAAAUCACAAUGCGGAACUAUUUAGUUUUGCAAUUGGAUUGAGAACAAUGUACAAAUGUUAUCGAUAAACAAUUGGAGGGCAAGUCUGG
rnacentral:rRNA from 16 species